UGUUACGCGAGGAACCUUACCAGGGCUUGACAUGCUGGAAGUAGCCACCCGAAAGGAUUGGCCACCUGUAACCAAUCAGGAACCAGUGCAGGUGCUGCAUGGCUGUCGUCAGCUCGUGCCGUGAGGUGUUCCCUUAAGUGGGAAAACGAGCGCAACCCUCGUCCUUAGUUGCUAGUUUCGAGUAAUCGGAACGCACUCUAAGGAGACUGCCCGCGUUAAGUGGGAGGAAGGUGAGGAUGACGUCAAGUCCGCAUGGCCCUUAUGCCCUGGGCUACACACGUGUUACAAUGGCGCAUACAAUGGGGGGCUAAGCCGUAAGGUGGAGCAAAUCCUGUAAAGUGUGCCUCAGUUCGGAUUGAGGGCUGCAAUUCGCCCUCAUGAAGCUGGAAUCGCUAGUAAUGGCACAUCAGCACGGUGCCGUGAAUACGUUCCCAGGCCUUGUACACACCGCCCGUCAAGC
rnacentral:rRNA from 1 species